rnacentral:lncRNA from 1 species
UGGGAGCUUUUCCUUUUCUAGAUAUUCUAGGUAUGGGGUCAUCCAGUUCUCCCCUUCCCUAAUUUCCAUUACUGCAGCGGGUUUCUCAUAGGCAGGAGUGUUGAUGUGCUGUAUGUACCCUCAUUUGGGAGUUGUUCUAAUUCUUCUUUAGACAAACAGCUGAGCAGGUCUACUUCCUCAUUCAAUUCUCUGGGUAUUCUCUGAUACCACACUGUAACAGCUUGCUCGCCGAGGUCAGCCUCUACAGCUUUUACCUUUGCCUGGUACUUUUGCAUAGUGG